GUUGGUUUCACAUGUCCAUCUCCGGAGAAAGACCAUAUCACCACUUCCUUAUGUGUCUAACCUCUAAUUUUGAUUAGGUGAAGACCACUCUCAAGGAUCUAUGGAGAUGAGAUUUGAGAGGAGUGACGACCCUCUGGAGAAAAUAACCACAAGUGAGCAAAUCGAAAGUAUAGCUGAGUUAUAUACGUCUCAAGGGGAACCUGUAACUGUUCGAUCUUUCUGACCAAUUCAUGCUAAGAUACUCGCCACGGUGUUUCUGAAAAACUAUAAGAUAAUUUACUGCCACAUCAAUCAUAUUCAUUGAUGAGAUAGAUGCAAUUACUUCCAAGCGAGAAAACCUGCAAAGAGAGAUGGAACGGCGGAUAGUAACACAACAUAUGACUUGCAUGGAUGAAUCACAUCACACUCAGUCUUCUGAUGAUUCCCAAAAACAUCAGAGAAGAAGCUUGGUUAUGUUCUUGUUAUCGGAGCAACAAACAAACCAGAUGCACUUGACCAAGCUUUAAGGAGACCUGGACGGUUUGAUCGUGAGAUUUCUUUGGGUGUACCUGAUGAAAAAACCACUGCUAGAGAUCCUCUCAGUUCUUACUCGAUAAUGUAAAUGUGUGUUUUGGAGAGAGUGGAGUCAAUGAGAUAUAGUUUUAUAUAAUAAUUAUGUCCUUUUGAAGUUUUAAGUGUUUCAUAAAAUUUCAAACUGAGUAUUGCAUGAUUGCAAGGUUAGGUGAUCAA